CCUGAUCCACGUGCUCAAGAGGGAUCUAAUUCUACUAGGGCGAACAAUAGAGACGCCAGGUGGAUGGUUCAAAAUCCGGUUUACCGUAGAUUAUCCCAGAGCACGGACACUGCCAAUAAUAGCAGCAUCAAAUUCGACCUGGACCGUUUUGUGGCAGAAGUCCCACUCAAGACAGCAUAAAAAGGCCUUCAUCAGAGGGCCUUUUAUUUGCAGGCUCAAAUAGGCACUGCACUCCACGCGACGUUCUCAUCGCUCAGCACCCC